AAGUUGGAAUUGCUAGUAAUCGCGGAUCAGCAUGCCGCGGUGAAUACGUUCCCGGGUCUUGUACACACCGCCCGUCACACCAUGGGAGCUGGUAACACCCGAAGUCAGUAGUCUAACCGCAAGGAGGACGCUGCCGAAGGUGGGAUUAGCGACUGGGGUGAAGUCGUAACAAGGUAGC
rnacentral:rRNA from 1 species